ensembl:lncRNA
CAGCUGCCAAAAAAUCUUUAUUCAGUUAUAACCAGACGCCUGCAGAAACGUGUAGUCACGCAGAUCGCUCUGGAGAAGGUCUAAACUCUACACCGAGUCAAACAACAACAGCACCAGAACGCACUUUGUCAGUAAACACAAUUUUACAACAAGAACGAUGGCGUUUUCUACACACACAGAGAUCAGAUAAGAAAAAACAAAAUGGUACAGGAGAUUUAACAGUCAGUGUGCACCGAUUCUUCUCAACCGGAGAAAAAUCAUAUAUAUAUAUCGAUAGAAGUCGUUUGAUAAUAUCGUGGAAAAGAAUGCCAUAAUAAUAAUAACAUCACUGGUGCAAUAGAGUACACAUUUUGUGAUAGAUCUUUACUGCAAGUGCUUUGUGUCGUGUGCUGUGUUCACAAAGGAUCCCGUGUAGACUCAGUGUGUGACACUGACAGCUGUUGUUGUCGUGCGAGUUAUGAAGAAGCAGGCCGGUUUAAAUGUGCAGAAAGAGAACAUUCAGUCGAAACAUGGCUUAGUGUGUGUAAGGUCCAGCAGGCAGAAGAAAAAAAACAAACCUCCGGGAAUCCCAAAUAACAAUUUGGGCCGUUUUGGAUUUCUCUUCUUAAGAGUUGAACGAGAAGAUCAAUACGCUGCUAUGAAGGGAGACAUUAGUGACACGUACCACAGGGGACCCUAUAGUAUGUGUCAUUAUGUGGGCUCCCAGGGUCCCGUUUCCCACUUGUGUGUAGCACAAAAUGGGAAAUAUGCCGUGGGGUUUUGUGGGAGCUAGUCAAAGCAAUGUGUGUUCCCCAGCACUGGUUAAAGUUUUUCAACUGAAAGAAAAAAAAAAACUAUUUUAAAACCUCUGAGUUAAAUAGUUUAGAGCAGGGAUGUCAAACUCAUUUUCCAUCGUGGGCCGCACACAGCGCAACAUCUUUCUGUCAAUGUGAAGAAGUUUAACCAAACAUUUACAGAGCAAAUCAGUUUUUCCACACGAUAAAGUUUUUCUACUGUAGUAAGUGAAAUGAAAUCUGUCAGCGCGACUCUUUGGGCUCAAACUGAAAGAAAUUAUAACUAAAUAAUAAAGUGGGCAGCUCAUCGCUCACACUAUGAUAGUAUGGGGAAGGAAGAAGCUGUAAAACGUAUGAAAACACUGUUAAAAGUCCAAAAUUUAUGCCAUCUUUCCUCCUUUUCAAAGCCACCCAGAUUGGAGUCUUUGCCGGCCAAUUCUAGCCCCCAUGCCUUAUGUUUGACACCCCUGGUUUAGAGGAUGUGGGUAGGUCAGUCUUGCAGACACCAAAGCCAGCUCGUCUGCAAGCCAACUUGUUGCGGCACGUUGUUCUAUAAUUUUAUAAUAAACAAGCAGCUGGUAUCGAUCUUCUCUUCAAACUUCAUGAUAAUGUGAAUAAGCAUAUUCCUACCCUGCAAAGAGAGAGAGAGAGAGGGGGGGGGGGUCAUUUCUGACUUCCCAGACACCAGUCAAGCAUCAAACCGUAGUGCAUGUUCCUAUCAUCACUUCCUUCUUUGCACUCUGACACAUGUGAUCGGCCCCACGGACAUCUGAGACCUUCUGUUGUGGCGCAAACAUGCAGAACCGAGUCCACCUUCAUGAAAACCAGAGCCUGCGGUUGCACAAAUCUCUUUGUCUCGGGUAAAACUGACCCAUGUCUGUCUCCUUCUUCUUCUCCUCCGUCACCCUCCCCCCGGCGCCCUCACAGUAAAAGGCAAGCUACCGAUUCCACGGACAGCAGCGAUUCUUAUCAUCUAAGGUCACAGAUGGGGAGCCCUGCGUGCGUGCCCCGUUUCUCAUCGUCCUCAUCAAUUAUUCAAAGACUCGGACGCACGCGUACGCACAAACAGCAGCAGCUCCCCCCGCCCCCUCCCUCACGCGCUCAGCCGAUAACACCUAACAUCGUCUGCGCUCUUGACUCAGAGAGGCCUCCGCGUCCUGUAAACGCGGAGUUACAGCUCGUACUGGUUGCCUGAUGGAAGGUGAUGCUCCGCAGAUGCCAGUGUGUGUGGUAAUGAAUCACGCAGGCGGGCGUUGGGCUGGUGUGAGGAGCAGAAGUGUGUGUGUAGGGCGGUGAAAAUUCAUGAGAUGCCGAUAACUCCUUAGCGGAUCUGUGUUUUUGGACCAGCGGCCCGGUGAGACAUGAGCAAGCUCUUCGCAUCGUCACAUGAUGAGAUCUGAAGCCACGGGGACAUACGCUGAGCAGCAGGACCACAUAUUGCCCCCAUGAUCUCACUCAGUGGGCUUUCACACCUCUUUCACUCAUAUUGUGUUUGCUUGCUUGCGUGUGUGUGGAGAUGAGAGAGGUCUGUGUUGUGUUACAUCACUGUUUAAUGCGUGCAGUGACAGAGGCCCAAAAAACAGGCGACAAAUGUGUUGUCGCUGGUGUACGGUUGCAUAUUAUCCUAACAGAUCCUGCUUGAUACAUGAUGCCGACUGAUAUAAAUGAUGCGGUUGCUUGAGCGAUGGAUGAAAACCAGAGAGCAUCGCCAGUUUGGAAACAGUUCGUACCUCCCCAAACUGGUCUGAGCUAAAUCCCUACAUCGGCUGCAUAGCGCCCAUCCCCGUCUUUAGACUCCCCC